AUGGUCAACCGAGUUAAAGUGUGUUUACGGUUUCUGAUGUAGACGUGCUGUUUUUUUCAGAAUGUAUGGUGGUGUGUGGUUUUAUGCAACUGCAUCCGUUUUGUUUUGCAGUCUGCAAACAACCAAACAAACUAAAACUCGUGCAAUUAUGCAAUAUAGAUUGAAACGGCUCUCGAAGAUCUUACGUCUGCCACUUUGAGCGUCUUGUAUAUUUAAAUCCUGUGUGACUCGAUGUGACAAUGUCUACUCUGCUGCCCCCUAGAGCCCGUCUCCGGUACAAACGUCAAGGCGACUUGCGCAGUAGAUGGAUGGGUCACGCUUAGGUGCUCUGUAACCGGGGGAGACGACGUCACGUUCCGCUGGACGCUGAACGCCACUUCCGAAAACAGCACCGUUUCAAAAGAGCGAAACGUGUCUUUUUACAAACUCACACCUGCGAAGCUCGUCUGUGAGGUAGAAAAUGCUGUCAGCAGUCAAAACACUACGGCUGCUGCUGUAACAUGCAGAGAAUAUAUUUCAAUUUUCAUCACUCUGGGAGCUUCUGUCUUGAUUGUCCUAUUUUGCGUGGCGCUUUGGAGCAUCAAGAAGAAGCUGCCAAAGAAAGGGGAAGAUCUCGAAGACGAUGUUUACGUCACAAUGAAAGGUUCCUGUGAGGCUAAGAAGGAAGCGAAGGCUGAUAUCAUCUCCAAACUCGAUACGUGCACACUUCAGCCAGUAAGAGCAAACGACUCUGGAAAAACAGAGGAUGCAGAGGACAUAUAUGUUUAACUAUCUGUCUGUAUAUACAACAGUGGGACAAACAAAAAGACCCAAGGAAGCAUUUAAAUAUAUGUUCUGGACUGGAAACCUGUAUUGAUAGUGUAAUUAAUUUUGUGUAUUGCUUAUUUUGUUAUAAAGAUAAAGAUGCUUUAUUGUCAUUGUACAAAUACAAUGAGAUUUCGUUUGGAGUGCGCCAGCAGAUACACAGUAAAAAGUUACAAUAAAAUCCAAAGAAUAAAAUAUGUAUACACACACGCACAUGUAGGGUAAACAUAUCCUU